CCGGAACGAUUAGAGAAGCAGCAUAAUUUACGGUAUGUG
rnacentral:misc_RNA from 1 species